UACAGAGGGUGCGAGCGUUAUUCGGAAUUACUGGGCGUAAAGCGCACGUAGUCGGCUUUGCAAGUCGGGUGUGAAAUCCCCGGGCUCAACCUGGGAACUGCAUCCGAGACUGCAUUGCUAGAGUAUGGGAGAGGGAAGCGGAAUUUCUGGUGUAGCAGUGAAAUGCGUAGAUAUCUGGAGGAACACCGGUGGCGAAGGCGGCAUCCUGGACCGGUAUUGACGCUGAGGCGCGAAAGCCAGGGGAGCAAACGGG
rnacentral:rRNA from 1 species